GUAGGGAGCAAGCGUUAUCCGGAUUUACUGGGUGUAAAGGGCGCGUAGGCGGGGAUGCAAGUCAGAUGUGAAAUCUGGGGGCUCAACCCCCAAACUGCAUUUGAAACUGCAUUUCUUGAGUGAUGGAGAGGCAAGCGGAGUUCCUAGUGUAGCGGUGAAAUGCGUAGAUAUUAGGAGGAACACCAGUGGCGAAGGCGGCUUGCUGGACAUUAACUGACGCUGAGGCGCGAAAGCGUGGGGAGCAAACAGGAUUAGAUACCCUGGUAGUCCACGCUGUAAACGAUGAAUACUAGGUGUGAGGGGACUGACCCUYYCCGUGCCGGAGUUAACACAAUAAGUAUUCCACCUGGGAAGUACGAUCGCAAGAUUG
rnacentral:rRNA from 1 species